UUGAAAAUAUCAAAGGUGUAACCUGCCCAAUGAUUAAAGAUUAAAUAAAACUAAUAUUUUUAUAAUAUAAUUAAAAGGACGCAGUAACCUGACUGUGAUAAUGUAGCAUAAUCAUUCGCCAUUUAAUUGAUGGAUAGUAUGAAUGGUUGAACGAAUUCUUCACUGUCUUAAAAAAAGAAGUCAUGAAAUUAAAAUAAUAGUUAAGAUGCUAUUUAAAAUUGUAAGACGAAAAGACCCUAUAGAGCUUAACUAUUAAUUUCUUUAAAAAUUAAAAAUCACUAGGAAAUUAGGUAGUUUAGUUGGGGCGACUAUCCUCUAAAAAUAACGAGGACAAGCAAUGUUAAUAUAACUUAUUGUAUAAUUAAUAAAUUUAACAAUUACAAAAGUAGGCUAUAAUGACCCGUUAUUAUAAAAAAAUAUAAAUAACGAUCAAUAAAUAAAAGCUACCUUAGGGAUAACAGGAUAAUUUUGUCCUAGAGACCAUAUCGAAGACAAAGUUUGUCACCUCUAUGUUGAAUUAAGAUAUCCUGAUAAUGCAGAAGUUAUCAAAGGUGGGUCUGUUCGACCCUUAAAA
rnacentral:rRNA from 1 species